GCCACACGAAAGCGAAGCGAAGGGUAGGGUGUGCCCUGUGUAUGUCUGCGCACCACGUUGUAUGCAUGUGCUUCUCUCCCUGUAUGCUUUUCAAAUCACCUUUUCCUUCGCCCCCUGAUGAGAGGGGGACACACACCUCAGCGCGUGGUAUCUCAGAGUGCAGUAUCCCUACUCCGUGGGUCUGGGGUAGCCAAGCAGCACCCCCCACACUGCUGAUGCCGAACCGCUUCUGAUGGUCACAAGGUCGAGCACCAGCGACGUAGGGGAGGUGAGCGCUAUGCAUCGCUGCUGAUGUCGGCGGCCAGGUCGUGGAUGACGUUGCAUUGUGGAGCGACCUGCGACAGUGCCAAGCUUGUGUCACCUAUGGGAUAGGCAACAUGUCAGCGCGACUCAAGCGCAUCGUACCCGGCCCCUCACACUGCCUCCUGGUGGGGGAGCCUUCUCCACCCCGAGAGGGAUGCGCCAUGGGUGGCGACCGGCACGAUGGGAGCCGCUGUGAGGCAACCUGCGAAGCGGGCGGGGUGGUGGGUACAGUUCGAGGCGGGGGCCGUGCUCUUAGAUGGCUGAGUCGGCGUGUUGCUGGAAUGCGUGCUCCGCGCUGCUUUGCACGAAGCGGGUGUUGUUGGGGCCCUUGUGGCCGGGCUACAGGAGGGGGGGGGUACAGUGGAGCGGAGCUCGUGCUCUAUUGGAGGAGAAUUGCCGCCUCGACAACGCGACAUUUCCAUCGCCCUCUUUUUUUGUUUUCGCUGUUCACCUUGCUUUGCUUUUCGUCCUUUGCCGCCACCGUGUUGACCUUUUUUCCCUGUUCUUGUCUCCGUGCUGCGGUGCUUCGCUUGUCUUCUCCUUUUUUUCUCCUUUGCCUCUUUCGUCGUCCGUAUACACGCACGGGUGGGCGCAGGGGAGGGGGCCCACGUGCACUCCAGCGCACUGCGCCCAGGCGGGCUGUGGGCGGACUCUCUGAAGUGAGAAAGGCCAGCGGCGCGCAGGCAAUGGCUCUCCCUAUGUGCGGGGCACCCUUGCUCGCUUCGGGGGAAUGGUGCGGCGCAUUGGGGCGCAGCUGCUGGCGCUGCUGGCCUCUCUCGCGCGCCCCUUGCUUCCGCUUGUCUCUGGUGACUGUGUGUUGGGGCAAGAGGGCGACGCCGGCAAGUUUGCCAAGCCAGUGGGGGCGCUGACGCCAACUGCGUGGAUCGCGGGGUUGGCCGCCGGUCUCAGACGCCAGGCCGGCAUCCCCCGAAACCGCGCUGCACGGCGCCACGCGCUGCGGCGGGGGCUCCUUGGCGGCCGCGGUCCCGCACGAAUGUGCAGGGAUGCUUGGGCCCACGAGGCGGCGGGAGACCGCGCUUGCCUACUCCCGCGCAGGCGCUUGUCCGGGUGCACCGGGUUGCCGCAGCGGCGGGUGGCUGGCGGUGGCGGCGUGGGGCGGGGGCGGUGUUGCUGCCUGCGGCUCCGCUGGCGCUGUGGUGGCCCCCGCCCUCGCCAGAGCCCCGGCCCCGACCUGUUUUGCCAUGUGGGAGACCGAACCGGCGUUGUGGCCGGUACGCUGCGCGGGGUUUGCGGAUCGCUGGCGGCUGAAAGCGCACCCCGUCUGACGCUAUGAUCCUGCGCGCGCUGACCUUGUUGCGCGCGCCUCGCUCGCGCGGCAUGGGCUGCCCCCUCCCGUGCCUCUGCGGGGGGGGCGCGCGGCGGGUUCCCUGUGCGCUGGUGCGUGCGUGUGCGUGGGCCCCUUUCGCCUGCCACGCGCCCGGCUCCCUCUCAAAGGCGUGCGGGCCGGGGGGUGGGUGGGUGGGGCUCCUCUGCGGCCGCAGGCUGGCGGCAACGCCCCCCCCCCCCCCCCCUUCUCGUGGUGUCGGCGGGUGCGGGGGCGAAGACAGCGGGCCUGCUAGAAAACGGCGUUGUCUUGGGUCAGGCGCCGGGACGCGGGCGCUGUGCGCACACGCUGUCGGGCACCGCUGGCAUAUGGCGCAUCGCACCCGAACAGGGCAAGAAGAGGCCAGCAGAGCAGGGGCGGUGGGCGAAGGGGGCGCGAGGAGAUGCAUGCGAACCGGCCCCGCCGUGCAUGUGCGCGGCGCGUCCGGCGUCUCCCAGGUGGGGCCGUGUGGGCGGACGCGGCGCCGGUGCCGGAAGCGCGCCGAGAACGCCCCGGGUGACACCACGGAGGCCCCCAGACCCCGAUGGAGAGAGCCACCGCCCCAUGCUAUGGGAUGCCGCGGCGGAUGGAAAAACAUGGCAUGCAUGCCGAGCGCAGGGUCUGGGAAGGCCCUGGCCUGCGGCUGGCCGGCUUCCUCGCUGAGCUGAUCUGGCAUGCGCCUGCGCUACCGCCUGGUUACCCGCACGACGGGCGCCACCGCUUCCGCCCUCGGUCAGGGGCGUGGGUGUGGCCUGCGUGGGUCGGGGCGUGCGGCCCGCCGGGUGUCCGUGUGGCGCUGAUCGCGCGGCGCGUAUCGGAAGAAGGGGCGAGGACGGGCAAGAAGGGCUUGCUAGCCGCAUGACCCCAUUCGACUGCCGACGGCUCGCUCUGGUCGACCAGAGUUUAGCUGCAGUGCGACCGAGGCAGGUGAGCCGUGGCUGUGUGUUUGCGUGUAUAUGUUCUGAUUUGUUCGCGGGUGGAGUUAUGGGCACGUUGCUGUGCAGCGGAAGAAAAGGCGAAAAGAAGUGCCUAUUAUCGUGCCAUGUCCCUUGGCUCGUCUCUCUCCAUGUUUGGCGUGGUGUUGGGUUCAUGUGUGUGUGCGUGUGCAACAACGUUUUCUUUCGCCUCUUAGGCGCGUGUUUUUUGCAUGUCUUGCUUGUGUCUCUGCCACACUGGCUCUCCCGCUGUGGCGUCGUGGAGUAGUCUAAUGCUGAUCCUGUGCUGGCGGCCUUUCUCUUGUUCUCUCGAAGAAGCACUCCUCUCACACCAAAGAAAAGGCCGUGCCAAGAGAGGUACUAGGUGGCGGAGGCAAGACCGCAACGAUGCGCAGCCAUCACGACCACCACUACACGGGCACGCACACAGGCGCCCAUGAAACUUCGUGAAAAGGGUGCAACAACGUCGUUUCGGUGCAAGGGCAGCCGUUGACAGUCAUGCGUUGAGCAAGAGCAAGGCAACGUGGCAGGGAUUUGGAACGGGAGGUGCACGGUGAUACGCUGUCCUCCUGUAUCGCGCUCUGACCGCUGCUUCCCGUUUCACAGGAUCGGCAGUUGCUCUUCUCCUCUGACGUGCGUCUGUCUGUGUGUGUGUUUUUUUUUUUGGGGGGGGGGGCUGCAAAUGGAGAUGAUGCACGAAUGGAGGGGCGCGCUCGAGGUACCACAGCUCAG
rnacentral:misc_RNA from 1 species